GCUGACGAGUCCCAAAUAGGACGAAACGCGCGUCC
rfam:Schistosoma mansoni strain Puerto Rico chromosome 2, complete genome